CUUAGGAAUCCAUAAUGUUCUACUCCCAAUUUUUUACAUAUACACUAAAUGUAUGUCAAAACAUAAAUCAUUCUUUAUACAAAAUUAUGCUAAUCCUCGAAUCUGAAAAUUCUGAGUACCAUUUUAGGUUAUCUUUGUGUAUACGUCAUGCUAAUCUUCUCUGUUUAGAACCAUUUCUCGACAACUCCCUGCCGGAUGAAACUGGGUUUAGCACAGGUUGAAACCCUUGCCAUUCUGAAUCAGCGAUGACCAUCUUGCCCGAGCCAUUAGACGAACACACCUUUUGAUCCAUCUCCCUGUCGGACAAAACCUGAACCUCUUGCCCUUCGACUGUCGCAAUCUUGGCCGAGCGACAAGGACUCACGUGAUCACCGAUUGAAACAUCAAUAGGUGAAGACACACUUGGAUCGGUCAAGAACUCCUUGAUGGCCUGAACUGGGUUUGGCACAGAUCGAAACCCUUGUCCUAUCGAAUCGACAAUCGCGUUCCUACUCGAGCCACUAGUACCUGUGUGAUCGACGACGGUAGCUGCGUUGGGUGAAAACGCCCUCCAAUCGGUCAAGAACUCCUUCGGUAGAACUGGAUUUAGGACGGGUUGAAAGCUUUGCCAUCUUGAAUCCACGGUUGCGAUCCCGAUCGUGCUGGAGUUACCCACAUGAUCGUUGGUGAUAACUUCAUCAGGUGAAGAUGCCCACGGAUCGGUCCAGAACUCCUUGAUGGGUGAAAUCGGGUUUAGAAUGGAUUGAAACCCUUGCCAUCUUGAAUCGACGUUCAUGAUCCCACCGGAGCCGGAAGUACCCGCGUGAUCGGCGAAAGUAGCGGCGUCAGGUGAAGAUGCCAACAGAUCGGUCCAGAACUCCUCGAUGGGUGGAAUCGGGUUUAGAAUGGAUUGAAACCCUUGCCAUCUUGAAUCGACGUUCAUGAUCCCACCGGAGCCGGAAGUACCCGCGUGAUCGGCGAAAGUAGCGGCGUCAGGUGAAGAUGCCAACAGAUCGGUCCAGAACUCCUUGAUGGGUGGAAUCGAGUUUAGAAUGGAUUGAAACCCUUGCCAUCUUGAAUCGACGUUCAN
rnacentral:lncRNA from 1 species